UACGUAGGGGGCUAGCGUUGUCCGGAAUCAUUGGGCGUAAAGAGCGUGUAGGCGGCCCGGUAAGUCCGCUGUAAAAGUCAAAGGCUCAACCUUUGAAUGUCAGUGGAUACUGCCGGGCUAGAGUCCGGAAGAGGCGAGUGGAACUCUUGGUGUAGCGGUGGAAUGCGCAGAUAUCAGGAAGAACACCAACGGCGAAGGCAGCUCGCUAGGACGGUACUGACGCUGAGACGCGAAAGCGUGGGGAGCGAACAGG
rnacentral:rRNA from 1 species